rnacentral:rRNA from 1 species
AUUGAACGCUGGCGGCAGGCUUAACACAUGCAAGUCGAGCGAGCGGCGGACGGGUGAGUAAUGUCUGGGAAACUGCCCGAUGGAGGGGGAUAACUACUGGAAACGGUAGCUAAUACCGCAUACUAUCGGAUGUGCCCAUAUGGGAUUAGCUAGUAGGUGGGGUAAAGGCUCACCUAGGCGACGAUCCCUAGCUGGUCUGAGAGGAUGACCAGCCACACUGGGACUGAGACACGGCCCAGACUCCUACGGGAGGCAGCAGUGGGGAAUAUUGCACAAUGGGGGCAAGCCUGAUGCAGCCAUGCCGCGUGUAUGAAGAAGGCCUUCGGGUUGUAAAGUACUUUCAGCGGGGAGGCGUUACCCGCAGAAGAAGCACCGGCUAACUCCGUGCCAGCCGCCGCGGUAAUUC